rnacentral:rRNA from 1 species
CAGCAGCCGCGGUAAUACGAAGGGGGCUAGCGUUGUUCGGAAUUACUGGGCGUAAAGCGCACGUAGGCGGCUUGGUAAGUUAGAGGUGAAAGCCCGGAGCUCAACUCCGGAAUUGCCUUUAAGACUGCCGAGCUAGUAGGUGAGAGAGGUAAGUGGAAUUCCGAGUGUAGAGGUGAAAUUCGUAGAUAUUCGGAAGAACACCAGUGGCGAAGGCGGCUUACUGGCUCAUUCUAGACGCUGAGGUGCGAAAGCGUGGGGAGCAAACAGGAUUAGAUACCCGCGUAGUCCCUGUCUCUUAUAC